rnacentral:piRNA from 1 species
AACAAAGAAUGUGGCUUGUGGCACG